rnacentral:rRNA from 1 species
GACGAACGCUGGCGGCGUGCCUAAUACAUGCAAGUCGAACGCAGUGGGGACGGGUGAGUAACACGCGGGCAACCUCCCAUCAGAGGGGAUAACACUUGGAAACAGGUGCUAAACCGAUAUCGAUGGAUGGACCCGCGGUGCAUUAGCUGGUUGGUGAGGUAACGGCCCACCAAGGCCACGAUGCAUAGCGGACCGGAGGGGGGAAUCGGCACAACGGGGACGGGGACACGGCCCAGACUCCUACGGGGGGCAGCAGUGGGAAAUCUUCGGCAAUGGACGAAAGUCUGACCGAGCAACGCCGCGUGGGUGAAGAGGGUUUUCGGAUCGAAAAACUCUGUUGUUAGGGAGGCGGUAUCUAACCAGAAAGCCACGGCUAACUACGUGCCAGCAGCCGCGGUAAUAC